rnacentral:rRNA from 1 species
CCUACGGGUGGCAGCAGUCGGGAAUUUUGCGCAAUGGGCGAAACCCUGACGCAGCAACGCCGCGUGAACGAGACGCCCUUCGGGUUGUAAAGUUCUUUCAGUGAGGACAAAAAAUGAAGAUACCCCCAGAGGAAGCACCGGCUAAAUCCUUGCCAGCAGCCGCGGUAAUACGGAGGGUGCAAGCGUUGUCCGGAAUCAUUGGGCGUAAAGAGUUCGUAGGCGGCAUGUAAAGUCAGGUGUUAAAGGCCCAGGCUCAACCUGUGUAUUGCACUUGAUACUUGCAAGCUGGAAUGCGGUAGAGGUAAGGGGAAUUCCUGGUGUAGCGGUGAAAUGCGUAGAUAUCAGGAGGAACACCAGUGGCGUAAGCGGUUUACUGGGCCGUAAUUGACGUUGAGGAACGAAAGCCAGGGGAGCAAAUGGGAUUAGAUACCCGUGUAGUC